ACCGCGGAGGAUCAUUACCUAGAGUUGUAGGCUUUGCCUGCUAUCUCUUACCCAUGUCUUUUAAGUACCUUACGUUUCCUCGGCGGGUCCGCCCGCCGAUUGGACAAUUUAAACCAUUUGCAGUUGCAAUCAGCGUCUGAAAAAACUUAAUAGUUACAACUUUCAACAACGGAUCUCUUGGUUCUGGCAUCGAUGAAGAACGCAGCGAAAUGCGAUAAGUAGUGUGAAUUGCAGAAUUCAGUGAAUCAUCGAAUCUUUGAACGCACAUUGCGCCCCUUGGUAUUCCAUGGGGCAUGCCUGUUCGAGCGUCAUUUGUACCUUCAAGCUCUGCUUGGUGUUGGGUGUUUGUCUCGCCUCUGCGUGUAGACUCGCCUCAAAACAAUUGGCAGCCGGCGUAUUGAUUUCGGAGCGCAGUACAUCUCGCGCUUUGCACUCAUAACGACGACGUCCAAAAGUACAUUUUUACACUCUUGACCUCGGAUCAGGUAGGGAUACCCGCUGAACUUAAGCAUAUCAAUAA
rnacentral:rRNA from 1 species